UAAGCAUGAACGCUGCUCUUUUUCGUUUCUUUUUUUACUUUAGCACCUGAUUUCGGGGGCUUUUGCGCAUAGAAAAGAAACGAAAAAUCGCGCUGAAAGCCUCCCUCGUGGAGGCUUUUUUCGU
rfam:Erwinia tasmaniensis strain ET1/99 complete chromosome.